rnacentral:rRNA from 1 species
AUGGACCUCCUCCAAAACGCGGAGGUGGACCUCGGAGCUCCGCCUCUAGACCCCUUUAGGGUUGGAGACGACUUGGAGGAAAAGGAGGAAGAUGAGGAGGAUGAAGGGGAUGACGAGGAGGAGCGAGAUAGGGUGGAGGCAUUCACCGCCGCUUCCCGCCCACACGCUCGGUCGACAAACUACACCGAGGCGGAAGAUGUCCUCUUGGUUCGUGCUUGGGCAGCUGUGGGAAUGGAUGCUACCACCGGCACCAAUCAAACCGGUAAACUCUAUUGGUAAAGGAUCGAGGACGUCUAUUGUAGGAUCAAGCCGAAGAAUAGUGGGUUCAUCCAUCGCACAUUCCGGUCGCUUCAAGGCCGUUGGGAGUUGAUCAAGCCCGCUUGUUCUCGUUGGAGUGCGGCCAUGGACCAAGUGAGGGAUGCACCACCUAGUGGAACCGUGGAGAGUGACUAUGAGACAAUUGCCGGCUUGAGGUACAAGGAGAUGGCCGCUUCCAAGGGCAAGCCAUUCCCAUUUAAGCAUGUUUGGUCAAUUCUUCAAACCUUUGACAAGUGGAAGUUGAGGGAUCAAGAGACCGCACCCAAGAAGUCGGCAAUGCUAAGGAUGGACGAUAGUGAAGAUGAGGAGGAGAGGAACGUGGGCAAGCCCGAGGGAAACAAGAAGGGCAAGCUAAGGGUGAAGAUGGAAGAAGAGGCGUCAAGCCUAAGGGAGAAGAUGGACCACAUGAUAAAGGCAAGAGAGGAAUUGACAACGAAGACAUUGGAGAUGAAGCUUCUUAUCACCGAGAAGAAGAAAGAGGUCAAGCUUGCACAAGUUGAAGCAAAACGUGAAGAAGCAAAGCGCAAGGCCGAGUUGGAGGAGAGGAUGAUCAAGCUCAAAGAGGCAAAGGUAUGGAAAGAACUCAUGGUGGAAGAGAAAGAGCACAUGAUGAUGUCCAAGGACAUGGAUCAAGACCAAUUGCAAUGGUGGAAGGACUACAAGGAGGACAUCGCGGAGAGGAAGAGGAUGUUUCGUGUUGCGUCCUCUACUUUUCGAGGUGACACUCCGAUGAGUAGUUGUGGUGAUGGCGGUGUGUACGACUCCAUCGGUGGUGAUGGACAUGCUUGA